rnacentral:misc_RNA from 1 species
GAUGAAGAACGUAGCGAAAUGCGAUAAGUAAUGCGAAUUGCAGAAUUCAGUGAGUCAUCGAAUCUUUGAACGCACAUUGCGCCCCCUGGCAUUCCGGGGGGCAUGCCUGUCCGAGCGUCAUUGCUGCCCUUCAAGCCCGGCUUGUGUGUUGGGUCGUCGUCCCCCCCGGGGGACGGGCCCGAAAGGCAGCGGCGGCACCGCGUCCGGUCCUCGAGCGUAUGGGGCUUUGUCACCCGCUCGAUUAGGGCCGGCCGGGCGCCAGCCGGCGUCUCCAACCUUCUAUUUUACCAGGUUGACCUCGGAUCAGGUAGGGAUACCCGCUGAACUUAAGCAUAUCAAUAAGCGGAGGA